rnacentral:rRNA from 1 species
CUGGAACGCUGGCUGCUGGCCUAACACCUGCAAGUCGAGCGAGCGGCGGACGGGUGAGUAAUGUAUGGGGACUGCCCGAUAGAGGGGGAUAACUACUGGAAACGGUUGCUAAUACCACAUCCUAUCGGAUAACCCAUAUGGGAUUAGCUAGUAGGUGGGGUAAAGGCUCACCAAGGAGACGAUCUCUAGCUGGUCUGAGAGGAUGAUCAGCCACACUGGGACGGAGACACGGCCCAGACUCCUCCGGAGGCAGCAGUGGUGAAUAUUGCAAAAUGGGCGCAAGCCUGAUGCAGCCAUGCCGCGUGUAUGAAGAAGGCCUUAGGGUUGGAAAGUACUUUCAGCGGGUAGGCGUUACCCGCAGAAGAAGCACCGGCUAACUCCGUGCCAGCCGCCGCGGGAAUAC